rnacentral:rRNA from 1 species
UACGUAGGGUGCAAGCGUUGUCCGGAAUUAUUGGGCGUAAAGAGCUCGUAGGCGGCUUGUCGCGUCGGCUGUGAAAACCUGGGGCUCAACCCCCGGGCCUGCAGCCGAUACGGGCAAGCGUAGAAUUCGGUAGGGGAGACUGGAAUUCCUGGUGUAGCGGUGGAAAUGACGCAGAUAUCAGGAGGAACACCGGUGGCGAAGGCAGGUCUCUGGGCAUUAACUGACGCUGAGGAGCGAAAGCAUGGGGAGCGAACAGG